GAUGAACGCUGGCGGCGUGCCUAAUACAUGCAAGUCGAGCGAACAGACGAGGAGCUUGCUCCUCUGACGUUAGCGGCUGACGGGUGAGUAACACGUGGAUAACCUACCUAUAAGACUGGGAUAACUUCGGGAAACCGGAGCUAAUACCGGAUAAUAUAUUGAACCGCAUGGAUCAAUAGUGAAAGACGGUUUUGCUGUCACUUAUAGAUGGAUCCGCGCCGCAUUGUCUAGUUGGUAGGGUAACGGCUUACCAAGGCAACGAUGCGUAGCCGACCUGAGAGGGUGAUCGGCCACACUGGAACUGAGACACGGUCCAGACUCCUACGGGAGGCAGCAGUAGGGAAUCUUCCGCAAUGGGCGAAAGCCUGACGGAGCAACGCCGCGUGAGUGAUGAAGGUCUUCGGAUCGUAAAACUCUGUUAUUAGGGAAGAACAAAUGUGUAAGUAACUAUGCACGUCUUGACGGUACCUAAUCAGAAAGCCACGGCUAACUACGUG
rnacentral:rRNA from 1 species